GACGAACGCUGGCGGCGUGCUUAACACAUGCAAGUCGAACGGAAAGGCCCUGCUUUUGUGGGGUGCUCGAGUGGCGAACGGGUGAGUAACACGUGAGUAACCUGCCCUUGACUUUGGGAUAACUUCAGGAGACUGGGGCUAAUACCGGAUAGGAGCUCCUGCUGCAUGGUGGGGGUUGGAAAGUUUCGGCGGUUGGGGAUGGACUCGCGGCUUAUCAGCUUGUUGGUGGGGUAGUGGCGUACCAAGGCUUUGACGGGUAGCCGGCCUGAGAGGGUGACCGGCGACAUUGGGACUGAGAUACGGCCCAGACUCCUACGGGAGGCAGCAGUGGGGAAUAUUGCACAAUGGGCGGAAGCCUGAUGCAGCAACGCCGCGUGCGGGAUGAAGGCCUUCGGGUUGUAAACCGCUUUCGCCUGUGACGAAGCGUGAGUGACGGUAAUGGGUAAAGAAGCACCGGCUAACUACGUG
rnacentral:rRNA from 1 species